rnacentral:rRNA from 1 species
CAAUAGCGUAUAUUAAAGUUGUUGCAGUUAAAAAGCUCGUAGUUGGACCUUGGACCUGGACAGGCGGUCCGCCUCACGGCGUGUACUGUCUUGCUGGGUCUUUCCUCUUGGUGAUCUGUUGUUUCGGCAGCAGGGAACCAGGACUUUUACUUUGAAAAAAUUAGAGUGUUCAAAGCAGGCUCGACGCCGGAAUAUAUUAGCAUGGAAUAAUAAAAUAGGACGUGCGGUUCUAUUUUGUUGGUUUUUGGAAUCGCCGUAAUGAUUAAUAGGGACAGUCGGGGGCAUUAGUACUCACAUGCUAGAGGUGAAAUUCUUGGAUUUUGUGAAGACUGACUUCUGCGAAAGCAUUUGCCAAGGAUGUUUUCAUUAA